rnacentral:tRNA from 1 species
GCCCUGGUGGCUCAAUGGUUAAGUGCUCAGUUGCUAACCAAAGGUUGGUGGUUCCAACCCACCCCAUGGCA